GAGUCAAGUUAUUUAUGCUGGUUUCAAUAGAACAACUCGGCGAGCAUCUUUACUGUCCGACUUAAGUGUCUACAGGAAUGCAUCCCUAGACUGCAUAGGAACAGUCUCAUGGCUACAUUUGGACAACAUCUAGGACCAGGAGGUCUUGAUCUCUGAUGAUGCUACUGUACUAACGAGUUGCAGAUGUUACAUGCCAGCAAAGGCGAACUCCUUGGAGAAGAGUGUCAGUGAGUGGCUAGCAUGAUGUGAGGAUGUCAAGG